rnacentral:rRNA from 1 species
GAUGAACGCUGGCGGCGUGCCUAAUACAUGCAAGUCGAGCGAAGCGGGGACGGGUGAGUAACGCGUGGAUAACCUCCUAUAAAGCUGGGAUAACAUCGGGAAACGGGAGCUAACCCGGUAACAUAUAGAUGGGUACGCGCUGGAUUAGCUAGUUGGUGAGGUAACGGCUUACCAAGGCAACGAUGCAUAGCCGACCUGAGAGGGUGAUCGGCCACACUGGAACUGAGACACGGUCCAGACUCCUACGGGAGGCAGCAGUAGGGAAUAUUCCGCAAUGGGCGAAAGCCUGACGGAGCCAUGCCGCGUGAGUGAUGAAGGCCCUAGGAUCGUAAAACUCUUUCAGUAGGGAAGCGGUACCGAAUCAGAAAGCCACGGCUAACUCCGUGCCAGCAGCCGCGGUAAUUC